UGGCAGUGGAAGCACAGGCUCCACAUCCUCACAGCUCAGAUGACACGGAAACUGCUACAGUUUGAGGCGAGAGAUGCCUCGCCACAUCCUCACAGCGUCAUGUGUUUCGGAGCCCUCGAAAGUGACUUUGGGAACAGCUCCUCCCCAUGUCCUCACUACGUCAUGCCUGUGUACAAUAGCCUUGUCAACCUGAACGUGGCCAGAGCAUCCAAGCGCAGAACACAUCAGGGCCCUGUGGAGAAAUCCAUCAGGUGAAUGAGGACAGAGGCCACCACACACACCGUGACUUGACUUUGAAGAACACGAGGAUGCGUGUACAGUGCAUAUGUGAGCAGGGCCACUACACAAAUGUCCUGACACACUCAGGCAUGUGUGAAGACCUGAGCCACAGGGAUGUGAAGAGCGGCCUCCCAUGUCCUGCCAAGCAGGGCAUGUGUGGUCCCUCUCCAACAGGAAAGCUCACAUAUUGAGCCCUUUACCCGGUGGACAGGAUAGGAGCCCCACCUAUCCACUUCUGACCGUCUCAGAAGUGUGGAAACCCACAGCAGCAUGGGUAUGACCAAAGCUAGGCACCUGUGGUGAUGAUCAAUCACAUGCAUGUACGGCGGCAUCGGCAAUAAGUAUGUGAACAGAGCCAAUACGAUGAAUGACUCAGGCAUGUGCCAAACUCUGUGCACGGUGAGUAUGCAAAGAAUACCCCUAUACCCUAACACCCCAUACAUGCACACAUGCUCAGCAUCUCAAGCAAGUGUGUACCCCUGUAAAAAACUAAGAACUGAGCAGCACCCUCAUUUCUCCUGACAAACUCAGGCACAUGCGGGGCCCUGCAAGAUCAUGUGAGCAGCGCCUCCAUGUCUUGCGGACCUGAAUUGUGUGCAGAAUCAUCCACAACAUGGAUGUGAAUACAACACCAUUACAAUGGGAACGUGAGCAGAUACCACACACCCUGGAUACUUGCAUCAUGCAUGGAUCCCUCUUCAAAGUGGAUGUGAGGAGUGGCCCACCAUUUCCUGAACCUCUCACGUAGGUCCUAUAAAGUGGAUGCAAGAAGAGCCAUUCCCUUCCUCUCAUCUCAUGCAUGUGGAGCCGUCUUCACCAUAGAAUUUGAACAGAGCAACUUAUUCUGUCAAGGCCUCAGGCAUGUGUGGAGCCCUCUACGAGGGAGUAGAAACAGUGCCUCCACAUACACACCGACCACCUCAGGCAACAGUGGAGCCAUGGACAAUACUCUAUGUGGGCAAAGCCCUCUUGUGUCUGGCCAACCUCAGGCAGCCAUUGUAAUCUGGCCAGGUGAAGAUCAUCUCUACAAGUCUAGAGCUUAGGCCAGAGGGAAGUGAACACACUUCCUGUGUGCAAACUUGUAUGGUGCUUGGGAGCCCUCUUCAAGGAGAGUGGAAGCAUAGGCCUCACAUCCUGAAACCCCAGAUAGCCGUGGAGACCUCUACAAUGUGAGAAGCGCACCCCCACAUCCUUACACCCUCAGGUGUUUGCAACUCCACUACAAAGUGACUUUAGGAACAGCCCCUCCCCCUUUCCCAACUACCACAUGCCUCUGUGUUGAGCUCUCUUCAACCUGAAUGACCGCAGCACCCGUGGGUGGACCUCAUCAGGCUCGUGUCAGGGAAUCCAUUAGGUGCAUGUGGACAGAGGCCCCCAUGUACACUGUGACAUGACUUAUGAAGAAUGUGGGGAGCCCUGUGCAUGUGUAUGUGAGCAGGGCCACCACCCACAUGUCCUGACACACUCAGGCAUUUGUGAAGAUCUGAGACACACAGGAGCACACGACCAAGGCAGCUCCUUCUCGGUCACAUAUGGGGCCCUCUACCCCGUGGACAGCAUGUGAGCCCAAACUCCUUUUGAAUGUCUCAGAAGUGUGAAAACCAACUACAUCACAGGUGUGAUCAGAGCCAUGUGCCUGUGGUGAUGAUCACAUGUAUACGUGGCCACUUCAAAAAUGAAGAUAAGAACAGAGCCACUAGUAUCCUAAAACCCUGAGGCAUGUGCAGAACUGUCUGCAAGGUGAGUAUGGGUGCAAUGCCCCUAUCCCCCACACCCACACACCCACAUGUUCACCAUCUCAGUCAGAUGUGCAGCCCUGUACCAACCAAGAGGUAAGCAAUGCCCUCCUGUGUCCUCCCAAAGUCGGGCACAUGCAGGGCCCUGCCAGAUCAUGUGAGCAGAGCCUCCACAUCCUGCCGAGGUGAAUUAUGUGCAGAAUCAUCUCCAACACAUAUGUGAGUAGAACACCUUUCUCCUCACCUCCUCAGAUGUUCCUAUCCCAGGGUCACAAGGAGAAUGUGGUCUGGGCCUUCCAUGUCACAAGUGAAGCCAUAUGUAGAAACCUCUAAAACGGGGAUAUGAGCAGCACCAACCCAUGUCCUGAGCACCUCAGGAAUAUGCAUGUGAGCAGCAUGCCCCAUGUUCUGACAAACUCAAGUAAAUUUGGAGCACUUCUACCAGGCUGAGAGCAGAAAGCCACAGGUCUUGACCUCCUCAGGUUGGUAAAGACACCUGGCAAAUGUAGAUGUGACCAAAAUCUCCAUGCAUGUCCUGAUUUUCCGGGUGUGACUUGCACUCUGUGUGAUAUACAUGUGCAUGCAGUCUUCCACAUGUGGAUGAACUCAGCCAUGUGUGGAGCCCUGUACAACAAGGAUGUGAACAUGAAGAAGGCCCAAGGGUCUUCUUGUGCUGACCAUCUGGGGCCUGUAUAAAAUGUGGAUGGGAGUGGAGCCACAUCCCGCCAUCAUUGCUGUAGGGAUAUACACCAGGCCUCUGUAACAUCUACAUGGCCACAUCCCCACCCACAUCUCCACCAUCUCAGGUGUGUGGAAUCCCACGCGAUGUGCAUAUGAGGCCAUAGCCUCAAAUAUGGAAAUUUCAUGCACGAGGAGAGGCCCGAAGAACAUGGACAUGAACACAAUUCACCAUAUAGCUAAUUCUACUUCUAUUGUGAUCCCGUGCACUAUGUAGUUGUAACUGAGAUCACCAUGAUCUCACUAACUGGCUGAUCAUGGAGCCCUCUCUGAUAUAAUUGUGAGCAGGGCUGCCUGCAUCUCCCUGACCUGUCAUCCCUGCCUAAGGUGUGUGGAGAACAUUGUACAAUGUGAACUAGACCUGAACACCCACCAUGUCCUCAACUGCUCAGAUUUGUCUGAUGACUUGUGCAAUGGAAAUGUAAAUCCAGCCCUCACCCCAUGGCCAGAAGUCUGCCGCAAGGGUGUGUGCACAAUCACCCCACCAGCUGCCUGUCCCCAUUGUCAGAAACAGUACAGUGUUGUGCGCAUACACCCCCACCCUGACCACCUCAUGAGAGUGUGAUAUAAGCAGGGAUAUUCGCCCAUGUCCUGAAGCCCUCAGGCACUGGUGGAGCCCUGUACAAUGAGAAAGUGAACAGAGCCUAUCCAUGUCCCUACUCACGGGCAUGCGUGGAACCCUGUACGACAUGGAUGUGAGCAGACCACUGUAACCAGACUGGCUUCGGUUUUGGAGCUCUCUGUUCCAAGGAGGAAGUUACCAGAACUAUCUAUUUCCUGACCACCUCAGCAGGUGGAGGAGCCCUCUGAAAGAAGAAACUGAGCACUGCCAUAUUGUUUUGAGCAUGCUGGGGAUGUGGAGUGCUCUGUAAUGUGCCUGAGAGCAGAGCACAUCGGCAGGUGACACACACUAUGAAAUGGACGUGAGUAGAGCCCCCAGUAUCCUUUCCAUUUCAGAAACGAGCAGGGACCUCUACAACAUGGAUGUGGAGCAGAUCCCUUAAUUUCGUGAUCAUCUUCAUAGGAUGUGGGUCCUUAUACAACAAGGAGGGCAGGCCUGACAACUCCAGGCCCCUACAUCCUCACAUCACAGGCAUGUGCAGAACGCUCUACACUACAUACAGGAGCAGAGACCUCCACUCACUGACUAUAACCAUCUCAUGUGUGUGGAGCCCCAUAUGUGGAUCUGAGUACACUCCAUCAUUUCUGAGAUCAGUCGUAUAUGCAGAGCCUUCUACAGCAUGGAUAUUGGUGGAGGUCCUGACCGUCAUCACACGGAUGGGGACCCCUUCCAACAUGCAGGACCAUGGGAGAAAGUUGGAGCUGGAUGUCAUGGUGCACACCUCUAAUCCCAACACUGAACAGGCUGACGCAGGAGGAGUUGGAGUUUGAUGUCAGCCCUCACAGCGAUUUGGCUGGUGUACCUGACAAAUAAACACUGUGUGCA